CAACAGGGAUUCCCCUAGUAACGGCGAGUGAAGCGGGAACAGCUCAAAUUUGAAAUCUGGCCCUCGGGUCCGAGUUGUAAUUUGUAGAGGAUGCUUUUGGUGCGGUGCCUUCCGAGUUCCCUGGAACGGGACGCCUUAGAGGGUGAGAGCCCCGUACGGUUGGACGCCUAGCCUCUGUAAAGCUCCUUCGACGAGUCGAGUAGUUUGGGAAUGCUGCUCUAAAUGGGAGGUAUAUUUCUUCUAAAGCUAAAUACUGGCCAGAGACCGAUAGCGCACAAGUAGAGUGAUCGAAAGAUGAAAAGCACUUUGAAAAGAGGGUUAAAUAGCACGUGAAAUUGUUGAAAGGGAAGCGUUUAUCACCAGACUUUUUCUAGGGGGAUCAUCCGGUGUUCUCACCGGUGCACUUCCCCUGGUUGAGGCCAGCAUCGGUUUUCGGAGGGGGAUAAAAGCUUCGGGAAUGUGACUCCCUCGGGAGUGUUAUAGCCCGUUGCAUAAUACCCUUCUGGGGACCGAGGUUCGCGCAUCUGCAAGGAUGCUGGCAUAAUGGUGAUCAACGA
rnacentral:rRNA from 1 species